rnacentral:rRNA from 1 species
UACGAAGGGGGCUAGCGUUGCUCGGAAAUCACUGGGCGUAAAGGGUGCGUAGGCGGGUCUUUAAGUCAGGGGUGAAAUCCUGGAGCUCAACUCCAGAACUGCCUUUGAUACUGAGGAUCUUGAGUUCGGGAGAGGUGAGUGGAACUGCGAGUGUAGAGGUGAAAUUCGUAGAUAUUCGCAAGAACACCAGUGGCGAAGGCGGCUCACUGGCCCGAUACUGACGCUGAGGCACGAAAGCGUGGGGAGCAAACAGGG